GAUGAACGCUGGCGGCGUGCCUAAUACAUGCAAGUCGAGCGAACCGACCGGGAGCUUGCUCCUCUGACGUUUGCGGGGGACGGGUGAGUCACACAUGGAUAACCUACCUCUCAGACUGGGAUGAUUUCGGGAGACCGGAGCUAAUACCGGAUGAUAUAUUGAACCGCAUUGUUCCAUAGUGAAAGAUGGUUUUUCUGUAACUUAUAGAUUGUCACGCGCCGCAUCAGCAACUUGGGAAGGUAACUGCUUACCCAGGCAACGAUGAUUAGACGACCUGCGAGGGUCAACGCACAGACGGGAAUUGAGGCACGGUACAGACUCCUACAGUAGGCACCAGGAGAGAAUCUUCCGCAAUGCGCGAAAGCCUGACGGAGCAACAUCGCCGGAAUCAUGAAGGUCUUCGGUUCCGAAAACUCUGUUAUUAGUGAGGAACGAAAGUGUAUGUAACUAGGCACGUAUUGACGGUACCUGAUCAGUAAGCAACGGCUAACUACGUG
rnacentral:rRNA from 1 species